rnacentral:rRNA from 1 species
UACGUAGGGGGGCAAGCGUUGUCCGGAUUUAUUGGGCGUAAAGAGCGUGUAGGCGGCUUUACAGGUCCGUUGUGAAAACUCGAGGCUCAACCUCGAGACGCCGGUGGAAACCGUAAGGCUAGAGUCCGGAAGAGGAGAGUGGAAUUCCUGGUGUAGCGGUGAAAUGCGCAGAUAUCAGGAAGAACACCCGUGGCGAAGGCGGCUCACUGGUCCAUUACUGACGCUGAGGUGCGAAAGCGUGGGGAGCAAACAGG